rnacentral:rRNA from 1 species
ACUACGGGAGGCAGCAGUAGGGAAUCUUGCACAAUGGGCGAAAGCCUGAUGGAGCAACGCCGCGUGGGGGAAGAAGGUCUUAGGAGCGUAAAACCCUGUUGUUAGAGAAGAAAGUGCGUGAGAGUAAAUGUUCACGUUUCGACGGUAUGUAACAAGAAAGCCACGGCUAACGACGGGCCAGCAGCCGCGGUAAUACGUAGGUGGAAAUCGUUAGCCGGAUUGAUUUGGCGUAAAAGUGACGCAGGGGGUCUUUUAAGGCUGGUGUUAAAGCCUUCGGCUUAACCGGAGUAUUGCAUUGGAUACUGUGAGACUUGUGUGCAGAAGAGGAGAGCGGAACUCCAUGUGUAGCGGUGAAAUGCGUAGAUAUAUGGUAGAACUCCAGUGGCGAAAGCGGCUCUCUAGUCUGUAACUGACGCUGAUGUUCGAAAGCGUGGGUAGCAAACAGGAUUAGAUACCCCUGUAGUC